CGGUGUGUGGCGCAGCCUGGUAGCGCACUUCGUUCGGGACGAAGGGGUCAGAGGUUCGAAUCCUCUCACACCGACCA
rnacentral:tRNA from 1 species